GCGGGUAUCGUAUAAUGGCUUUUAUGAGUCCUUGCCAAGGACUAGAUGGGGGUUCAAUUCCCCCUACCCGCUCCA
rnacentral:tRNA from 1 species